UACAGAGGUCCCGAGCGUUGUUCGGAUUCACUGGGCGUAAAGGGUGCGUAGGUGGUGAGGUAAGUCGGAUGUGAAAUCUCCGAGCUCAACUCGGAAAUGGCAUUGGAAACUACCUUGCUUGAGGGUUGGAGGGGGGACUGGAAUACUUGGUGUAGCAGUGAAAUGCGUAGGUAUCAAGUGGAACACCAGUGGCGAAGGCGAGUCCCUGGACAACUCCUGACACUGAGGCACGAAAGCGUGGGGAUCAAACAGG
rnacentral:rRNA from 1 species